rnacentral:rRNA from 1 species
GACGAACGCUGGCGGCGUGCUUAACACAUGCAAGUCGAACGGAAAGGCCUGCUUUCCCUUGUGGAUUGCGGGUACUCGAGUGGCGAACGGGUGAGUAACACGUGAGUGAUCUGCCCCCAACUUGGGUAUAAGCCUGGGAAACUGGGUCUAAUUCCCGAUAGGACUGCAGGGUGGUGCCUGUGGUGGAAAACGAUUUUCUAGUGGUUGGGGAUGAGCUCGCGGCCUAUCAGCUUGUUGGUGGGGUAAUGGCCUACCAAGGCGGCGACGGGUAGCCGGCCUGAGAGGGUGGACGGCCACAUUGGGACUUGGAUACGGCCCAGACUCCUACGGGAGGCAGCAGUGGGGAAUAUUGCACAAUGGGCGGAAGCCUGAUGCAGCGACGCCGCGGGGGGGAUGACGGCCUUCGGGUUGUAAACUCCUUUCGACCGCGAGGAAGCCACCUGGUUGGAAGGGUGGUGACGGUAGUGGUAGAAGAAGCACCGGCUAACUACGUG